AACGAACGCUGGCGGCAUGCCUAACACAUGCAAGUCGAACGAGACCUUCGGGUCUAGUGGCGCACGGGUGCGUAACGCGUGGGAACCUGCCCUUAGGUUCGGAAUAACUCCCCGAAAGGGGUGCUAAUACCGGAUAAUGUCUUCGGACCAAAGAUUUAUCGCCUUUGGAUGGGCCCGCGUUGGAUUAGCUAGUUGGUAGGGUAAAAGCCUACCAAGGUGACGAUCCAUAGCUGGUCUGAGAGGAUGAUCAGCCACACUGGGACUGAGACACGGCCCAGACUCCUACGGGAGGCAGCAGUGGGGAAUAUUGGACAAUGGGCGAAAGCCUGAUCCAGCAAUGCCGCGUGAGUGAUGAAGGCCUUAGGGUUGUAAAGCUCUUUUACCCGGGAUGAUAAUGACAGUACCGGGAGAAUAAGCUCCGGCUAACUCCGUG
rnacentral:rRNA from 1 species